rnacentral:rRNA from 1 species
UACGGAGGGGGCUAGCGUUGUUCGGAAUUACUGGGCGUAAAGCGCACGUAGGCGGCCUUGUAAGUUAGAGGUGAAAGCCCAGGGCUCAACCCUGGAAUUGCCUUUAAGACUGCAUCGCUUGAACACGGGAGAGGUGAGUGGAAUUCCGAGUGUAGAGGUGAAAUUCGUAGAUAUUCGGAAGAACACCAGUGGCGAAGGCGGCUCACUGGACCGUUGUUGACGCUGAGGUGCGAAAGCGUGGGGAGCAAACAGG